GGCUCAGGAUGAACGCUAGCUACAGGCUUAACACAUGCAAGUCGAGGGGCAUCAGGAAGAAAGCUUGCUUUCUUUGCUGGCGACCGGCGCACGGGUGAGUAACACGUAUCCAACCUGCCCUUUACUCGGGGAUAGCCUUUCGAAAGAAAGAUUAAUACCCGAUGGCAUAAUGAUUCCGCAUGGUUUCAUUAUUAAAGGAUUCCGGUAAAGGAUGGGGAUGCGUUCCAUUAGGUUGUUGGUGAGGUAACGGCUCACCAAGCCUUCGAUGGAUAGGGGUUCUGAGAGGAAGGUCCCCCACAUUGGAACUGAGACACGGUCCAAACUCCUACGGGAGGCAGCAGUGAGGAAUAUUGGUCAAUGGGCGCUAGCCUGAACCAGCCAAGUAGCGUGAAGGAUGAAGGCUCUAUGGGUCGUAAACUUCUUUUAUAUAAGAAUAAAGUGCAGUAUGUAUACUGUUUUGUAUGUAUUAUAUGAAUAAGGAUCGGCUAACUCCGUGCCAGCAGCCGCGGUAAUACGGAGGAUCCGAGCGUUAUCCGGAUUUAUUGGGUUUAAAGGGAGCGUAGGUGGACUGGUAAGUCAGUUGUGAAAGUUUGCGGCUCAACCGUAAAAUUGCAGUUGAUACUGUCAGUCUUGAGUACAGUAGAGGUGGGCGGAAUUCGUGGUGUAGCGGUGAAAUGCUUAGAUAUCACGAAGAACUCCGAUUGCGAAGGCAGCUCACUGGACUGCAACUGACACUGAUGCUCGAAAGUGUGGGUAUCAAACAGGAUUAGAUACCCUGGUAGUCCACACAGUAAACGAUGAAUACUCGCUGUUUGCGAUAUACAGUAAGCGGCCAAGCGAAAGCAUUAAGUAUUCCACCUGGGGAGUACGCCGGGCAACGGUGAAACUCAAAGGAAUUGACGGGGGCCCGCACAAGCGGAGGAACAUGUGGUUUAAUUCGAUGAUACGCGAGGAACCUUACCCGGGCUUAAAUUGCAGUGGGAUGAUGUGGAAACAUGUCAGUGAGCAAUCACCGCUGUGAAGGUGCUGCAUGGUUGUCGUCAGCUCGUGCCGUGAGGUGUCGGCUUAAGUGCCAUAACGAGCGCAACCCUUAUCUUUAGUUACUAACAGGUUAUGCUGAGGACUCUAGAGAGACUGCCGUCGUAAGAUGUGAGGAAGGUGGGGAUGACGUCAAAUCAGCACGGCCCUUACGUCCGGGGCUACACACGUGUUACAAUGGGGGGUACAGAAGGCAGCUAGCGGGUGACCGUAUGCUAAUCCCAAAAGCCUCUCUCAGUUCGGAUCGAAGUCUGCAACCCGACUUCGUGAAGCUGGAUUCGCUAGUAAUCGCGCAUCAGCCACGGCGCGGUGAAUACGUUCCCGGGCCUUGUACACACCGCCCGUCAAGCCAUGGGAGCCGGGGGUACCUGAAGUACGUAACCGCAAGGAUCGUCCUAGGGUAAAACUGGUGA
rnacentral:rRNA from 1 species